rnacentral:rRNA from 1 species
GAGUUUGAUCAUGGCUCAGAACGUACGCUGGCGGCACGCCUAACACAUGCAAGUCGAACGAAGUAGCAAUACUUAGUGGCAGACGGGUGAGUAACAUGUAGGUAUCUGCCCUUUGGCCUGGAAUAACACGAGGAAACUUGUGCUAAUACCGGAUAAGUCUUUACGGAGAAAGCUUUAUGCACCAUUGGAUGAGCCUGCACUUGAUUAGUUUGUUGGUGGGGUAAUGGCCUACCAAGACUGUGAUCAAUAGCUGAUUUGAGAGGAUGAUCAGCCACAUUGGGACUGAGACACGGCCCAAACUCCUACGGGAGGCAGCAGUGGGGAAUCUUGCACAAUGGAGGAAACUCUGAUGCAGCGAUGCCGCGUGAGUGAAGAAGGCCCUUGGGUUGUAAAGCUCUUUCGUCGGGGAAGAAAAUGACUGUACCCGAAUAAGAAGGUCCGGCUAACUUCGUGCCAGCAGCCGCGGUAAUACGAAGGGACCUAGCGUAGUUCGGAAUUACUGGGCUUAAAGAGUUCGUAGGUGGUUGAAAAAGUUAGUGGUGAAAUCCCAGAGCUUAACUCUGGAACUGCCAUUAAAACUUUUCAGCUAGAGUAUGAUAGAGGAAAGCAGAAUUUCUAGUGUAGAGGUGAAAUUCGUAGAUAUUAGAAAGAAUACCAAUUGCGAAGGCAGCUUUCUGGAUCAUUACUGACACUGAGGAACGAAAGCAUGGGUAGCGAAGAGGAUUAGAUACCCUCGUAGUCCAUGCCGUAAACGAUGUGUGUUAGACGUUGGAAAUUUAUUUUCAGUGUCGCAGGGAAACCGAUAAACACACCGCCUGGGGAGUACGACCGCAAGGUUAAAACUCAAAUGAAUUGACGGGGACCCGCACAAGUAGUGGAGCAUGUGGUUUAAUUUCGAAGAUACGCGCAGAACCUUACCAACACUUGACAUGUUCGUCGCGACUAUGAGAGAUCAGAGUUUUCGGUUCGGGCCGGGA